CAUGGAUAACUGUGGUAAUUCUAGAGCUAAUACAUGCACAAAAGCCGCGACUUUUAACUAAGAAGCGGUGCGUUUAUUAGACCAAGACCAAUGGGUGCUUGCACCCUACAAAUAUGGUGACUCUGGAUAACUAAUGGCCUAAAAACCAUGAUGCUGACCCUAUGGCCCGUGGGCAACCACACCGUGCCGAGGGCAAAUCAUUCGAGUGUCUGAUCUAUCAACUGUCGAUGGUAAAUUAUAUGUUUACCAUGGUUGUAACGGGUAACGGGGAGUUAGGGCUCGACUCCGGAGAGCAAGCCUGAGAAACGGCUAGCACAUCCAAGGAAGGCAGCAGGCGCGCAAAUUACUCAAUGCCGGCUCGGCGAAGUAGUGAAGAAAAAUAACGAUGUAGGUCUUUUUUAUAGGAUCUACAAUUGGAAUGAGUACACCGUAAAUACGUUAACGAGUACCAAUUGGAGGGCAAGUCUGGUGCCAGCAGCCGCGGUAAUUUCCCAGCUCCAAUAGCGUAUAUUAAAGUUGCUGCGGUUAAAAAGCUCGUAGUUGGAUUUCAGACCUAUUGUCAGCAAAGCUGCACUAUUCAACGUUCGUUGGUUUCAAUGGACGUCGCGUAUUCACUUUCGUGGAUGCGUGUGUUCAUUUGGGCCUCGUUCGGGUGUUAGCUAUUUGCUGGCUGGUCGUUUCGUCACUUUUUAACAGGACGAAGCAGGCUGUAUCAUUGGCUAGUGACGCUUGCGUUGCGCUACAAUGGUCAGCGUGUUUACCUUGAGAAAAUUAGAGUGCUCAAAGCAGACAUGGCGGGUCGUAAGACUUGCAUUUAUGUUUGAAUAAUGUUGCAUGGAAUAAUAGAAUAUGGCCUCGGUUCUAUUCUGUUGGUCUUGUAGAACAACAAACAAGUUCACGCGUUCAAAUCAUGUUGCUGGCUUGGUGGAUUACUGUUUGUACGGCUUUGGCAUUGAUCGUGAGCUUAGUGUUAUCGCGUUCAUCGCGGAUGCGCAUCGCGAGCUUUAUCGGUUUGUCUAUAGGUUGUGCGGGCGUAGUCCCUCGAAAAGCCAAGCUUGUUAACACGAACGCGUGAAUCGAGGCAAUGGUUAAUAGGGACAGACGGGGGCAUUCGUACUGCUUCGCUAGAGGUGAAAUUCUUAGACCGAAGCAAGACGAACUAAAGCGAAAGCAUUUGCCUAGAAUGUUCUCAUUAAUCAAGAACGAAAGUUAGAGGUUCGAAGGCGAUCAGAUACCGCCCUAGUUCUAACCAUAAACGAUGCCAACUAGCAAUCAGGCUGAGUUUUUUAAAAUACAAAUGACUCGCCUGGCGGCUUCGCGGGAAACCAAAGUUUUUCGGUUCCGGGGGAAGUAUGAUUGCAAAGUUGAAACUUAAAGGAAUUGACGGAAGGGCACCACCAGGGGUGGAGCCUGCGGCUUAAUUUGACUCAACACGGGGAAACUUACUAGAUUAGAACGCUGGAAUGAUUGACAGAUUAAUAGCUCUUUCUUGAUUCAGCGAGUGGUGGUGCAUGGCCGUUCUUGAUUCGUAGAAUGAUUCGUCUGCUUAAUUGCGAUAACGAGUGAGACCUCGACCUACUAACUAGGUUCGUUCAUCAUUUGGGAUACAAAACGCCCUGUGUGUAUAUGGCGUGCAGUGUGCGUAGCAAUAUGUGCAUUGUGCGUCGCACGUAGGGUAGGCCCUCUGCUGGACGAAGACUUCUUAGCGGGAUAAACGGUGUUUUAGCCGUAAUAAAUGAGGCAAUAACAGGUCUGUGAUGCCCUUAGAUAUUCUAGGCCGCACGCGUGCUACACUGGUAGAGGCAGCAUGCUUAAUUUGAACAAUUGCCUCGGAGUUCUACCAGUGUUCUGCGUAUUUUGCCAAUGGUUCGCCGGAGGUUUGAUUCGUAUGUUUGCUGGUGUGAGCCGGGGAGUUAUUGUUUGAAAAAACCUUGGCUGAAAAGCCUGGGCAAUCCUAUGAAACUCUACCGUGAUUUGGGAUUGGGAAUUGCAAUUGUUUUCCAUGAACGAGGAAUCCCCAGUAAGCGCAAU
rnacentral:rRNA from 1 species